rnacentral:lncRNA from 1 species
GUCAUUUUGGGGAAAACCUUUUAGGGAUUUUUGUUUUGUUUACAAUGGACUUUGUGCUGUUUGUAGGCCAACUACUGGUGGUGCUCCGCCUCCUGCGCCAUCUAAGGCAUGAAUUUUGUGCAAAGGAUUGUAAAAUACAAACUCUGGUUACCUAUAAAAAAGGUUCAAGAUAGCUCUAUUUGAAGACCAAUAUUUUAGGGUAGCGUCGCUUGCUAGCAUAUAAUUUUUUUCUGGUAGGAAUUGUAUUCUUCCUCAGGAAAGGCCUUAUUUUUGCAGUUGUAAUUGAUUCUUUGAAGGAUGUUCAUAAUUAUUAUAGAUAGAAGGAGUAUAUUUAUAUUUCUUCCCUCUGCAUCAUCCAG